rnacentral:rRNA from 1 species
GGUUAAGCGACUAAGCGUACACGGUGGAUGCCCUGGCAGUCAGAGGCGAUGAAGGACGUGCUAAUCUGCGAAAAGCGUCGGUAAGGUGAUAUGAACCGUUAUAACCGGCGAUGUCCGAAUGGGGAAACCCAGUGCAAUUCGUUGCACUAUCGUUAACUGAAUACAUAGGUUAACGAGGCGAACCGGGGGAACUGAAACAUCUAAGUACCCCGAGGAAAAGAAAUCAACCGAGAUUCCCCCAGUAGCGGCGAGCGAACGGGGAGCAGCCCAGAGUCUGAAUCAGCUUGUGUGUUAGUGGAACGGUCUGGAAAGUCCGACGGUACAGGGUGAUAGUCCCGUACACCAAAAUGCACAGGCUGUGAACUCGAAGAGUAGGGCGGGACACGUGGUAUCCUGUCUGAAUAUGGGGGGACCAUCCUCCAAGGCUAAAUACUCCUGACUGACCGAUAGUGAACCAGUACCGUGAGGGAAAGGCGAAAAGAACCCCGGCGAGGGGAGUGAAAAAGAACCUGAAACCGUGUACGUACAAGCAGUGGGAGCACCUUCGGGUGUGACUGCGUACCUUUUGUAUAAUGGGUCAGCGACUUAUAUUCUGUAGCAAGGUUAACCGUAUAGGGGAGCCGCAGGGAAACCGAGUCUUAACUGGGCGUUAAGUUGCAGGGUAUAGACCCGAAACCCGGUGAUCUAGCCAUGGGCAGGUUGAAGGUUGGGUAACACUAACUGGAGGACCGAACCGACUAAUGUUGAAAAAUUAGCGGAUGACUUGUGGCUGGGGGUGAAAGGCCAAUCAAACCGGGAGAUAGCUGGUUCUCCCCGAAAGCUAUUUAGGUAGCGCCUCGUGAAUUCAUCUUCGGGGGUAGAGCACUGUUUCGGCUAGGGGGUCAUCCCGACUUACCAACCCGAUGCAAACUACGAAUACCGAAGAAUGUUAUCACGGGAGACACACGGCGGGUGCUAACGUCCGUCGUGAAGAGGGAAACAACCCAGACCGCCAGCUAAGGUCCCAAAGUCAUGGUUAAGUGGGAAACGAUGUGGGAAGGCACAGACAGCCAGGAUGUUGGCUUAGAAGCAGCCAUCAUUUAAAGAAAGCGUAAUAGCUCACUGGUCGAGUCGGCCUGCGCGGAAGAUGUAACGGGGCUAAACCAUGCACCGAAGCUGCGGCAGCGACACUAUGUGUUGUUGGGUAGGGGAGCGUUCUGUAAGCCUGCGAAGGUG